rnacentral:lncRNA from 1 species
UUCAAAAGUGGCAAUAGGCCAACUGGCUCGCUGAUUGGCUGUCAGCCUUGCCACGUCAUACUAUCCCCUGCUGCACAUACCACUAUAGAAGCCCGUGGUUACUUUUUGACCUCGUUUAAAAAAUAUCCUUGAGUUUGAUGCAAACUUGAGGCUUUUUAUGAAAGUUAGUUUUCGUUUUAAGUGACACAUGUGCACGAAACUAAAUAUUUCACUCUAAGUUUUACAAAUUUUGGGAUGAACGAUAACCGUACCCCUGGUGACGUCAUUUGUCGUUUUCCUGAUUUACACAGAAGACAGUCCCCCUAGAAAAGGCCUGAAUGGCGCAUGAUACAAUGUCGGCGCAAACUUGUUUAGCUUUUGUUGCGGGUUGUAUGUUGUAUUACCCACCGUGAUAUUGUGAAAAUAUAUGAAGUUAUUACGAAGUUCUUUUGAAAAUUUACUAGGCUUCUGUGGCAGGCAUCGUCAAAUUGAUCAUCACCAUAAUAUUGACAUGUAAAUGUCCUGCCAUACCUUUCAAUUUGGGCAAAACAGCGCAGCGCAGAAGAACCGGCAGACGCCGAUGUCCGGCCCGCGCUUCAAGAACUGACAGACGGCAGAUGCUGAUGUCACGAUGUGCCACCGGGGCAGCGCAGUAAACCCGACGGACGCCGACGUCCAGUCCGCGCAGUGUAACGCAUAA